UGGCGAUGAUUACUUUUUUUAUUUUAUCCGCGCUUCUUAGAGCAGUUCAUGAAGCAAACAAGUGAUAAAAAUGGUUGAAUUCCUUGAUAUGGGCCA